AAUGGGCGCAAGCCUGAUCCAGCCAUGCCGCGUGAGUGAUGAAGGCCCUAGGGUCGUAAAGCUCUUUCGCCUGUGAAGAUAAUGACGGUAGCAGGUAAAGAAACCCCGGCUAACUCCGUGCCAGCAGCCGCGGUAAUACGGAGGGGGUUAGCGUUGUUCGGAAUUACUGGGCGUAAAGCGCGCGUAGGCGGAUUAGUCAGUUAGAGGUGAAAUCCCGGGGCUCAACCCCGGAACUGCCUUUAAUACUGCUAGUCUUGAGUUCGAGAGAGGUGAGUGGAAUUCCGAGUGUAGAGGUGAAAUUCGUAGAUAUUCGGAGGAACACCAGUGGCGAAGGCGGCUCACUGGCUCGAUACUGACGCUGAGGUGCGAAAGUGUGGGGAGCAAACAGGAUU
rnacentral:rRNA from 1 species